UGCCAAGAUUAAGCCAUGCAUGUCUAAGUAUAAGCAAUUAUACCGUGAAACUGCGAAUGGGUCAUUAUAUAAGUUAUCGUUUAUUUGAUAGUACCUUACUACAUUGUGAUAACCGUGGUAAUUCUAGAGCUAAUACAUGCUAAAAAUCCCGACUUCGGAAGGGAUGUAUUUAUUAGAUUAAAAACCAAUGCCCUUCGGGGCUCACUGGUGAUUCAUGAUAACUCCUCUAAUCGCAUGGCCUUGUGCCGGCGAUGGUUCAUUCAAAUUUCUUCCCUAUCAACUUUCGAUGUUUGGGUAUUGGCCAAACAUGGUUGCAACGGGUAACGGAGGGUUAGGGCUCGACCCCGGAGAAGGAGCCUGACAAGCGGCUACUACAUCCAAGGAAGGCAGCGGGCGCGCAAAUUACCCAAUCCCGACACGGGGAGGUAGUGACAAUAAAUACUGAUACAGGGCUCUUUUGGGUCUUGUAAUUGGAAUGAGUACAAUUUAAAUCCCUUAACGAGGAACAAUUGGAGGGCAAGUCUGGUGCCAGCACCCGCGGGAAUUCCAGCUCCAAUAGCGUAUAUUAAAGUUGUUGUGGUUAAAAAGCUCGUAGUUGAACCUUGGGCCUGGCCGUCCGGUCCGCCUCACCGCGUGUACUGGCUCGGCCGGGCCUUUCCCUCUGUGGAACCCCAUGCCCUUCACUGGGCGUGGCGGGGAAACAGGACUUUUAUUGUGAAAAAAUUAGAGUGCUCCGGGCAGGCCUAUGCUCGAAUACAUUAGCAUGGAAUAAUAGAAUAGGACGUGUGGUUCUAUUUUGUUGGUUUCUAGGACCGCCGUAAUGAUUAAUAGGGACGGUCGGGGGCAUCAGUAUUCAAUUGUCAGAGGUGAGAUUCUUGGAUUGAUUGAAGACUAACUACUGCAAUAGCAUUUGCCAAGGAUGUUAUCAUUACUCUGGAACGAAACUUAGGGGAUCGAACACGAUCCGAUACCGUCGUAGUCUUAACCAUAAACUAUGCCGACUAGAGGAUCGGGACGGUGUUAUCU
rnacentral:rRNA from 1 species